UAAUGAUGACAUUUUGCUUUUCAAACAUCAGGCAGUAAAAAAAUUAAAUAUGUGUAUAUAUUUAUUAGCCGUGGGAAUUUAAUGCAUUAAUUGCUAUUAAUUAAUUUAAAAAAAUAACAGGUUAAAAAAGCCACAUUUAAUCGCACUUUACAUUCCAAGCGAAGGAGAACUUUUGUCAGUGUAUGAUUUCCUGGUAUACUGAUUACAGUGAUGCACACAUCACAGCUACAAAGAAUCCGAAAAAGCAUGUUACUAGGACUGAUCAGAAGCACAUUUCAUUUCAAAUGUCUACCCAACAGAAGCCUUGAUAAAAGUGUGGUUUUGUGUAAACUGUGCAAAAAGGAGUUUGCAUACCAUCAAAGCAUUUCAACCUUACGGUACCAUCUAAAUGCAAAACAUGUUGCAGCGAGCACAGAAACUGUGGGAGCUGUUAGCAUUAGCAGUCCCAGUUCGAGUACCAAUAAAAGGUGUUGGCAGCCCAAACAAGAUGAAAUGACUGGCUUCAGGACCAAAAUUAGGCAGUGCUAUGAGGGAGGCCACGUUUGCAGUAAUCGAGGGCCCAAGUGUGGAGUGUGGCUGGACUGCGCGGUGACGCGCCAUCAGGAAAAGACAGGUCCACGACGGGAGCUUCCUCUUUGGGUUUCUUGCUGGCGUGGUCUCCAUCUCAGAAGAGGAGUUCCUCUCCUGGUUUUAAACAUAAAGAACAUUUGCCCAAGCGUGGCUGGACAGAGGGAUGACGGGACUGUGGGGGGAAUUUUAGUGUAUGGGAGACAUUGUAUUAUUUUUUAGACAGUGUAUAUUUAUUUCUGCCGACAGGGUUUGUAGCAUAUUGAGAAAGUUGUUUUUAUUGUAUAAGGGUAUUUUAAAAUUGUAUUUGUAAUUGUAUUUGUGUUCUGGUUUUUCUUCCUCCGCUGCAAUAAAUGGUGUGUCUAA